GGAUUCGUGUUGCAAUGGUAGCACGUCUGACUCAGGAUCAGAAGGUUGUGUGUUCGAUUCACGUCGGUUUCA